rnacentral:rRNA from 1 species
CCUACGGGAGGCAGCAGUGGGGAAUAUUGCACAAUGGGCGCAAGCCUGAUGCAGCAACGCCGCGUGGGGGAUGACGGCCUUCGGGUUGUAAACCUCUUUUAGUAGGGAAGAAGCGAAAGUGACGGUACCUGCAGAAAAAGCACCGGCUAACUACGUGCCAGCAGCCGCGGUAAU